rnacentral:lncRNA from 1 species
ACUCCUUAGGUUUUAUAAAUGGCACCAGGAUUAAGUAAAGGGUAUAAUUCAAGAAAGCUCAGUGAAAGCAAACUCCCAUUACCCCGUUUCCUGUCAAAAAUCCACACAAUCCACCAGGCUGAUAAUUUUAAGUUAAACCAUGGCUGAGGACUGGGAAUUCAAGUCUAUUUAAACACUUUGUCUUCUGUACACCACAAACAUCCUGACACUGGCUGGUUAACUGGUUUUCUCGCCAGCUUGAACAGCACACACGUUACUAACAUCAUGACCU